CGGCAGGUCUUAUUCGACCAGCUCCCAUGAACUUCCCCAGGGUAGGAAUACAGCAAGGAUAAAUGGUUGUAGCGGUGCGCUUUAAGUAGCCUGCCACUU
rnacentral:SRP_RNA from 1 species